rnacentral:tRNA from 1 species
UCCCUGGUGGCUCAGAUGGUAAGGAAUCUGCCUGCAAUGCAGGUGACCUGGGUUUGAUCCCUGUUUGGGAA